GCGGGUUUAGCUCAGUUGGGAGAGCGUCAGACUGAAGUUAAACUUCAAUCACUAUCAGUUGAUAUCUGAAGGUCGUGUGUUCGAUCCACACAAACCGCA
rnacentral:tRNA from 1 species